UACAGAGGUCUCAAGCGUUGUUCGGAUUCAUUGGGCGUAAAGGGUGCGUAGGUGGCGCUGUAAGUCGGGUGUGAAAUUUCGGAGCUUAACUCCGAAACUGCAUUCGAUACUGCGGUGCUUGAGGACUGGAGAGGAGACUGGAAUUCAUGGUGUAGCAGUGAAAUGCGUAGAGAUCAUGAGGAAGAUCAGUGGCGAAGGCGGGUCUCUGGACAGUUCCUGACACUGAGGCACGAAGGCCAGGGGAGCAAACGGG
rnacentral:rRNA from 1 species